rnacentral:tRNA from 1 species
UGGCUCAGUGGUUAAAGCACUUGGCUACUAACCGAAAGGUUGGUGGUUCAAACCCUCC